rnacentral:tRNA from 1 species
AAGGCCUUAGUUUAAUUAAAACAUUUGAUUUGCAAUUAGAAAAUGCAAGGUAGAUUCUUGUAGGUCUUA